UAGCUGAGCUCAGCGCACGCUAAAUUAAUUCUUACCGCUAGCCGAACAAAACGAAAAACGCAACAUUAAAAAAGGGAUUGUCCAGCACACUUGCAGUAGACGAAAAAGCAGAAGUGCGGAAGAGCUUAAGCAUGCUGGCGGAACAGCAUGCAUAAGGGAGCAGAAGAGAGAGACAGAGAGGAAAAACGCUAAUAGAUGUACAAGGCAGCAGAAGCAGGAGAGCAGAUGAGCAAACGCAUACAGGCUUAACAAUGCAGUGAGUAGAAAUUCAGAAGAGUUUACGCAACCGGCGCCACAAUACAUGUACAACUGGACAAUGACAAUAAAGCCAUGCAAGAGGUUUGGGUUCCAUAUAAAGUGUGGAUACGGGUGGCUGCCAGAACUGAAACCACCAAAAAUUCAUUUGUUUCUUGCUUACUCUCUCGCGCUCUCUACUAAGUUAUGGCAGUUGCACCAGUUACUAUACAGUCAGCAGUGGAACUUGCACAUCCAGGCAGCACUAUGCUAAUACAAGUACAAUGUAGCAGAGUUUACGCAGCAAGCGCAACCAUACAUGUACAGCUGGACAAUGACAGUGAAGCCAUGCA